rnacentral:rRNA from 1 species
UACGGAGGGUGCGAGCGUUAAUCGGAAUUACUGGGCGUAAAGGGCACGCAGGCGGGCAAUUAAGUGAGAUGUGAAAUCCCCGGGCUUAACCUGGGAAUUGCAUUUGAGACUGGGUGUCUAGAGUAUUGUAGGGGGGGGUAGAAUUCCAUGUGUAGCGGUGAAAUGCGUAGAGAUGUGGAGGAAUACCGGUGGCGAAGGCGGCCCCCUGGACAAGGACUGACGCUCAGGUGCGAAAGCGUGGGGAGCAAACAGG